rnacentral:rRNA from 1 species
UAUCCUUCGGGGUGCGAGUACAGUGGCGAACGGGUGAGUAACACGUGGGUAACCUACCCUCGAGAGUGGAAUAACCCUGCUAACGCGGGGCUAAUACCGCAUAAUGCAGCGGCACCACAUGGUGAUGUUGUUAAAGCGGGGAUCCUUCGGGACCUGUCGCUUGAGGAUGGACCCGCGUUCCAUUAGCUUGUUGGCGGGGUAACGGCCCACCAAGGCUGCGAUGGAUAGCCGACCUGAGAGGGUGGCCGGCCACACUGGGACUGAGAUACGGCCCAGACUCC